AUGAACGCUAGCUACAGGCUUAACACAUGCAAGUCGAGGGGCAGCAUGGUCUUAGCUUGCUAAGACUGAUGGCGACCGGCGCACGGGUGAGUAACACGUAUCCAACCUGCCGUCUACUCUUGGACAGCCUUCUGAAAGGAAGAUUAAUACAAGAUGGCAUCAUGAGUCCGCAUGUUCACAUGAUUAAAGGUAUUCCGGUAGACGAUGGGGAUGCGUUCCAUUAGAUAGUAGGCGGGGUAACGGCCCACCUAGUCUUCGAUGGAUAGGGGUUCUGAGAGGAAGGUCCCCCACAUUGGAACUGAGACACGGUCCAAACUCCUACGGGAGGCAGCAGUGAGGAAUAUUGGUCAAUGGGCGAGAGCCUGAACCAGCCAAGUAGCGUGAAGGAUGACUGCCCUAUGGGUUGUAAACUUCUUUUAUAAAGGAAUAAAGUCGGGUAUGGAUACCCGUUUGCAUGUACUUUAUGAAUAAGGAUCGGCUAACUCCGUGCCAGCAGCCGCGGUAAUACGGAGGAUCCGAGCGUUAUCCGGAUUUAUUGGGUUUAAAGGGAGCGUAGAUGGAUGUUUAAGUCAGUUGUGAAAGUUUGCGGCUCAACCGUAAAAUUGCAGUUGAUACUGGAUAUCUUGAGUGCAGUUGAGGCAGGCGGAAUUCGUGGUGUAGCGGUGAAAUGCUUAGAUAUCACGAAGAACUCCGAUUGCGAAGGCAGCCUGCUAAGCUGCAACUGACAUUGAGGCUCGAAAGUGUGGGUAUCAAACAGGAUUAGAUACCCUGGUAGUCCACACGGUAAACGAUGAAUACUCGCUGUUUGCGGUAUACGGCAAGCGGCCAAGCGAAAGCGUUAAGUAUUCCACCUGGGGAGUACGCCGGCAACGGUGAAACUCAAAGGAAUUGACGGGGGCCCGCACAAGCAGUGGAGUAUGUGGUUUAAUUCGACGCAACGCGAAGAACCUUACCAGGGCUUGACAUAUACAUGAAAGUCUAAGAGAUUAGACCCCUCUUCGGAGCGUGUAUACAGGUGGUGCAUGGUUGUCGUCAGCUCGUGUCGUGAGAUGUUGGGUUAAGUCCCGCAACGAGCGCAACCCUUAAGCUUAGUUGCCAUCAUUAAGUUGGGCACUCUAAGUUGACUGCCGGUGACAAACCGGAGGAAGGUGGGGAUGACGUCAAAUCAGCACGGCCCUUACGUCCGGGGCUACACACGUGUUACAAUGGGGGGUACAGAGGGCCGCUACCACGCGAGUGGAUGCCAAUCCCAAAAACCUCUCUCAGUUCGGACUGGAGUCUGCAACCCGACUCCACGAAGCUGGAUUCGCUAGUAAUCGCGCAUCAGCCACGGCGCGGUGAAUACGUUCCCGGGCCUUGUACACACCGCCCGUCAAGCCAUGGGAGCCGGGGGUACCUGAGGUGCGUAACCGCGAGGAGCGCCCUAGGGUAAAACUGGUGACUGGGGCU
rnacentral:rRNA from 1 species